rnacentral:rRNA from 1 species
CGGAGGAUCCAAGCGUUAUCCGGAAUCAUUGGGUUUAAAGGGUCCGUAGGCGGUUUAGUAAGUCAGUGGUGAAAGCCCAUCGCUCAACGGUGGAACGGCCAUUGAUACUGCUAAACUUGAAUUAUUAGGAAGUAACUAGAAUAUGUAGUGUAGCGGUGAAAUGCUUAGAGAUUACAUGGAAUACCAAUUGCGAAGGCAGGUUACUACUAAUGGAUUGACGCUGAUGGACGAAAGCGUGGGUAGCGAACAGGAUUAGAUACCCUGGUAGUCCACGCCGUAAACGAUGGAUACUAGCUGUUGGGGGCAACUUCAGUGGCUAAGCGAAAGUGAUAAGUAUCCCACCUGGGGAGUACGGGCGCAAGCCUG